rnacentral:rRNA from 1 species
UACGUAGGGUGCAAGCGUUGUCCGGAAUUAUUGGGCGUAAAGAGCUCGUAGGCGGUUUGUCGCGUCUGCUGUGAAAACUCGGGGCUUAACUCCGGGCCUGCAGUGGGUACGGGCAGACUAGAGUGCGGUAGGGGAGACUGGAAUUCCUGGUGUAGCGGUGAAAUGCGCAGAUAUCAGGAGGAACACCCGGGGCGAAGGCGGCCCUCUGGCUCGACCCUGACGCUGAGGCGCGAAAGCGUGGGGAGCGAACGGG